GGGGGUGUCCUGGUUUCGACAGGAUAUCUGUUAUCUAUAACAGCAGUGGUCUGGUAAACCUAAAGACUACUAGGUUUGAUUAAACGCAAACACAAAAGAAGAAAAAUUUGAAAUGCCAGCAUUCAUGAUGACAAACAAUCAAGCUGGGGCAGCUUUAUUAACUGCUUAAUCCAACUUUAAUUUAAGUUAAACAUUUCUAAGGGUAGUAAUUUUAGUCGGUUAAUUAUUAUCUUUUUACCUAAUCGAUUCCGAAGUUAUGAUUGCAAUAAAUAGCUUUUAAAUACCAUUGCAAAUGAUUCUUUAAUCCUUUGUUGAUUUCAGUUAAUUAAUCAUCAGUUAGGAAAACAAAUAAACUUGUAGACGUUAUAGAUAAGGGUUUCUUGGACGCGGGUUCAAUUCCCGCCAUCUCCACCA
rnacentral:tmRNA from 1 species